CCUACGGGAGGCAGCAGUAGGGAAUAUUGCUCAAUGGGGGAAACCCUGAAGCAGCAACGCCGCGUGGAGGAUGAAGGUUUUCGGAUUGUAAACUCCUUUUGUUAGAGAAGAUAAUGACGGUAUCUAACGAAUAAGCACCGGCUAACUCCGUGCCAGCAGCAGCGGUAAUACGGAGGGUGCAAGCGUUAUUCGGAAUCACUGGGCGUAAAGAGCGCGUAGGCGGGAUAGCAAGUCAGAUGUGAAAUCCUAUGGCUUAACCAUAGAACUGCAUUUGAAACUGUUGUUCUAGAGUAUGGGAGAGGUAGGUGGAAUUCUUGGUGUAGCGGUGAAAUGCGUAGAGAUCAAGAAGAAUACUGAUGGCGAAGGCGGCCUGCUGGAACAUAACUGACGCUGAUGCGCGAAAGCGUGGGGAGCAAACAGGAUUAGAUACCCGUGUAGUC
rnacentral:rRNA from 1 species